AAUAUUGCACAAGUGGGGGAAACCCUGAUGCAGCCAUGCCGCGUGUGUGAAGAAGGCCUUCGGGUUGUAAAGCACUUUCAGUAGGGAGGAAGGUAGUGUAGUUAACACCUGCAUUAUUUGACGUUACCUACAGAAGAAGCACCGGCUAACUCCGUGCCAGCAGCCGCGGUAAUACGGAGGGUGCGAGCGUUAAUCGGAAUUACUGGGCGUAAAGCGCAUGCAGGCGGCCUGUUAAGUCAGAUGUGAAAGCCCGGGGCUUAACCUCGGAAUUGCAUUUGAAACUGGCAGGCUAGAGUCUUGUAGAGGGGGGUAGGAAUUUCAGGUGUAGCGGUGAAAUGCGUAGAGAUCUGAAGGAAUACCAGUGGCGAAGGCGGCCCCCUGGACAAAGACUGACGCUCAGAUGCGAAAGCGUGGGGAGCAAACAGGAUUAGAUACCCUGGUAG
rnacentral:rRNA from 1 species